rnacentral:misc_RNA from 1 species
UUCGGAGGGUGCAAGGGUUAAUCGGAAUUACUGGCGUAAAGCGCCCGCAGGCGGUCUGUCACGUCGGAUGUGAAAUCCCCGGGCUCAACGUGGGCACUGCAUCCGAAACUGGCAGGCUAGAGUCUUGUAGAGGGGGGUAGAAUGCCAGGUGUAGCGGUGAAAUGCGUAGAGAUCUGGAGGAAUACCGGUGGCGAAGGCGGCCCCCUGGACAAAGACUGACGCUCAGGUGCGAAAGCGUGGGUAGCAAACAGG